UACAGAGGGUGCAAGCGUUAAUCGGAAUUACUGGGCGUAAAGCGUGCGUAGUCGGUUAUUUAAGUCGGGUGUGAAAGCCCCGGGCUCAACCUGGGAAUUGCAUUCGAUACUGGAUAGCUAGAGUUCGGCAGAGGGAAGCGGAAUUUCCGGUGUAGCGGUGAAAUGCGUAGAUAUCGGAAGGAACAUCAGUGGCGAAAGCGACUUCCUGGACCAAUACUGACGCUCAUGUGCGAAAGCGUGGGGAGCAAACAGG
rnacentral:rRNA from 1 species